GGCGGUGCGGGCGCGGAGCGGAGCCGAGCGGAGCCGCGCUCUCCUCCCGCUCGCUUUCUCUUUCCCCCUCUCUCGCUCGCUCCCUCUCCCGCUCGCUCUCCCCCCUCCCUCCCUCGCUCUCUCGCUCUCCCUCUCUCUCUCCUACACUGCCAGCCCCUGAUGUGAUGGCGAAGAAACCCCGUUGACAAGGCACUGCUUUUUCAUGACGUUGUCAUGGAUGAUGAUGAUGAUGAAUCCUGUCUCCUUGAUCUUAUUGGGGACCCACAAGCGCUGAAUUAUUUUCUACAUGGACCUAGUAGUAAAUCUAGCAAUGAAGACUUGACUAAUGCAGAAUAUUCUGUAGCCAACUCAAAUUCAAUUUUCGCCAACUCCAACAACACUGAUCCUAAGUCGUCUGUAAAAGGUGUAAGUGGUCAGCUUGGAGAGGGGCCUAGUGAUGGACUGCAGCUGUCCAGUAGCCUUCAGUUUCUUGAAGAUGAACUUGUGUCUUCUCCUUUACCUGAUCUUACUGAGGAUCAGCCUUUUGAUAUUCUUCAGAAGUCCUUGCAGGAGGCCAAUAUUACUGAACAGACUUUGGCGGAAGAGGCAUAUUUGGAUGCCAGUGUAGGUUCUAGCCAACAGUUUGCACAAGCUCAGCUUCAUCCUUCUUCAUCAGCAUCCUUUACUCAGGCUUCUAAUGUUUCUAAUUACUCAGGUCAGACGUUGCAACCUAUAGGAGUUACUCAAGUGGUACAGCAACCUGUUGGAGCAUCUUUUGCAAGCAAUACAGUUGGUGUGCAACAUGGCUUUAUGCAACACGUUGGAAUUAGUGUUCCCGGCCAGCAUUUGUCUAAUAGCAGCCAGAUUAGUGGUUCUGGGCAGAUACAAUUGAUUGGUUCAUUUAGUAAUCAACCUUCCAUGAUGACCAUCAAUAACCUCGAUGGAUCUCAGAUAAUACUGAAAGGCAAUGGUCAGCAAACACCUGCAAACAUGAGCAGUGGCCUCUUGGUUCAUAGACAAACUCCAAAUGGGAACUCGCUGUUCAGUAACUCAAAUUCAAGUCCAGUAGCACAACCCGUAACUGUUCCAUUUAACAGCACAAAUUUUCAGACUUCGUUGCCUGUCCAUAAUAUCAUCAUUCAAAGGGGUUUGGCACCAAACUCUAACAAAGUUCCUAUUAAUAUCCAACCAAAGCCUAUUCAGAUGGGUCAGCAGACUGCUUACAAUGUGAAUAACUUGGGAAUACAGCAACAUCAUGUACAGCAAGGGAUUCCAUUUGCUUCUGCAAACUCACCUCAAAGUUCAGUAGUUGGUCCUCAUAUGUCUGUUAAUAUUGUUAACCAACAACAAAAUACAAGAAAAUCAGUUACGCCUCAGACAGUUAGCAAUGCUGGAGGUAGUAUUGUUAUCCAUUCCCCUAUGGGACAGCCUCAUGCACCUCAAAACCAGUUUCUCAUACCUACUAGUUUGUCUGUUAAUUCUAAUUCAGUUCAUCAUGUCCAGACCAUAAAUGGACAACUUCUUCAGACUCAGCCUUCCCAGCUGGUUCCUGGCCAAGUGUCUGCUGAGCAUGUAAUGCUCAACAGGAACUCUACAAACAUGCUAAGAGCCAACCAGUCGUAUUCAGGACAGAUGCUGAAUAAUCAGAACACAGCUGUUCAGCUUGUUUCAGGCCAGACAUUCACAGCCCCUGGAAACCAAGUUAUAGUAAAUCAUGGAACUUCCCAAAUUGUUGGUGGGCAGGUGCCACUGCAGCAGGCGUCACCAACGGUGUUGCAUUUGUCACCCAGCCAAGCUAAUGUUUCUCAAGGCAGAUCAAGUUUUACCACCAUGUCACCUGGGCAGUCCACAGUCUCAAAUAUGUCAGCUUCUAAUCGAUUUGCUGCUGCGAGUUCUUCUGGUUCAGUACACCCCAGCUUGGGAGCAUCAGUUCAGUCUGUCGCAUCGGGAGGGAACUUUACAGGAGAUCAGCUGGUCCAGAACAGAGCUCAAGUUGCCGUCAGUGCAUCGCAUCGUCUUCCAGCAUCCUCCUCCAAGUCUGUCAGCACCUUUAAUCACACGUCUGUGGGAGUAACACAACAACAGUUUGCCUUUGGUCAGAAAAAGGCUGUGAACCAGACGUCACCAGUUUCUGCAUCGAAGACACAGGACAAUUUGAGACAGCCUCAGCUAACAAGUCUUCUGAGCAACACACUAUCAGGACAAGACUCUGGAGGAAAAAUUGUACAACAGUCUCUAGCAACAGCACAGCCACAAGAAAAAGUGAUAGGACCAUCAGUUCAGCAGAGUAUACAGGUUGAUGGUCAUUUAGUUGGACAAAAAAGGCCUGCUGCUAAACAGUUAACUAAAGGAGCUUUUAUUCUGCAGCAGUUACAGAAGGAUCAGGUACAUGCUGUGACACCAGAUAAAAGUCGGUUCAGAUCAUUAAAUGAUGCCGUUCAGAGACUCCUUUCAUACCAUGUGUGCCAGGGAUCACUGCCAACAGAGGAAGAUUUAAGGAAAGUGGACAGUGAAUUUGAAUCCGUAGCUACACAGCUUCUGAAGAGGACGCAGGCUAUGCUGAACAAAUACAGAUGUUUGCUUAUAGAGGAUGCAAUGCGGAUAAAUCCCUCUGCAGAAAUGGUUAUGAUUGAUAGGAUGUUUAACCAGGAGGAAAGAGCAUCUCUUACCCGGGAUAAGCGUCUUGCACUUGUGGAUCCUGAUGGUUAUCAGGCCGAUUUUUGUUGUUCUGCCAAACAAUUUGAGAAAACAGCUGAAGAAGCACAGUCCAGCAAAAGUGACCAUCAGUCUAGCAAAACAUUACCUUCUCGAAGUCAGACUACCAAAACCCAAGCCAGAGACCGACCAAAAUCCAGCUCAGCAGAGUCCACAAACCACAGUAAACUUCCUCUAGUGCCUAACAACAUUCUGACACCACAAGAAGGAAAAGCUUCUACUAAAAAAUCUGAGAGCCUCACUAAAGCUUUAAAGUUUGAAAAAGCUAAUUGUUCUUCUGAGAGCCAAUACAUGGCCCUUUCUGAAGAAAGGAUGAGUGGAAAAGAUCUUGCCAAGUCCACUGAGAAUUCUUCGAGUUCUGAAGACUUGUCAAAAAUUGUGUCUAGAGGUAGUCAUGGAACACACAAUAAAAUAUCAAGGAACACAGUUCAACCUUUCUCAAAGGUAAAGGAGUCAUCUUCCUGGUGCCGCAUGGAGAUGGAAGAUGAGAGGUCAAUCAAGUUGCCACUGCAUCCACUCUGCAGGUUUGACUCAUGUCAGCUGCAUUUGGUUAUAGAUACCUGUGUUUGGGUGUUUUGUGUGAAGAUGCUGCAAUUGCAGGUGGUGCAGUGAAUUUUCCUACUUUUAUUAGAGGGGUGAUGAGCCUUUUCUUACUGUGAUUGAAUUUUUCGGAGAGUAUGCUGAGACUGAUCUAGUAAAGCUCUUAUACCUGGAACUUCCUUACUUUAUUUUUGGAGGCUGUGGAAGUGGAGCAUUGGUGAAGGGAACUGCCUCUCAUCUUGGAGUAGGGCCUGCACUGUUGAAAGAAGCACCAGGCAAACUUUUUGCAAUGCUAAACAGUUUAUGUGAAGUCUACUGUGCAGAAUUUAUGAAGAUUUGGGCAUAUGUGUUAAUGCAUUGCUGAUUUAAGAAAUUCAAUACACCAUGAUUUUGAGGAUCUGAACGAAGGAAAAAAAAAGCCAGAAUCAGAUUGGCACAAGGAAAGAUUCUGGCUCUGAGUCCAGUGAAGUAUUUCUAAGCAUGCUUAACUCCAGGCACAUGACUGCUCCAGCAAACAUUUGGAAGACUUUCUACAGGCUCAAAGGAUUAGCGAGCCAUCUCUCCACACUGCCCAGUUUCCCCCUCCGCCUCCACCAGCUCUCUCUAUGUGGCCAAAGAGAUGGUUAUUCAAUCUGUGAAGUAUGGGACGAUCCAUAUUCACAUUAUCCCAAGGGAAGCUCUUUGAAAGAACUGUGACCUCUUUGCACUUGAAGGGCUAACUUUGUAGGCCCAUACUCUGCUCUUAGUCUUCAGAGUGGAAACCUGGACUGACUUCAGCUGAGUGAGUACUCUGCAGACGUUCUAGUGUGAGACCAGCACCUAGUCCAGAAGAAGAGUGUCAUGCAGGAGCCUCGUGAGAGCCUGGGGAUUCUGCCUUUCAGAGCAAUUUAUGUGACUGAGGCGAGAUGGAGAAAGAGCUUUGUGUGCUGGAGGACAAGGAACUGACCUGUUAACCUCCUCCCCAGACCAGUCCUACCUUCUGUGUCACAGAAAUCAGCACAAUCCAUACCAGACAAAGUUUUGGGAGUCACUGAGAUAUGUGUUGCUGAAAAACCUGUCUUUAUGCUGCUCUCUUCAGGUGAUAGUUCUGAAGCGUGCAGAAGAAUAGGAGGGAGAAAAAGAAACUUUUGUUUUCUUUGAAGAAAAGAAAAUUGAGCUGAAAAAUGGCACAGCACAGCCUUCAAAUCAUAAUACCCCUAUUUGUGUUUGGGAAGGUACCACAGAAUCCUGAUUUUUGUUGCCUAUCAGUGUUUUCUAUAGGAGUAAAUCUAUUUGAUGCUUUAAACUAGGUUUUUAUGCUCCUUUUCUGAUUUCUGAUGCUAACUGAAAGCCUUUGCUAAUGAAACCAUCUCUGCUAGCAGGUUUCCCUUCUUUCCAGAAAAGGAGGAAGAUGAGACUGCUUUCCCUGAAGGCCAUGCUGCCUGGAAUAGGCAGAAUUUCCUCUGCUUCUUCUUCUGGUAGAAAAUAGUUAAGAAUAUGCAUGACAAGCCUGUGUCCCAUAUGGACUACAUUAAUUUUGCGUGUGUCUCAUCUUGAGUUAAGUCUGGCCUUACUUACCUUUAUCUUUUUCUCAAAAAAAACCCCUGAAACCCCAACAAAAACUUGAGCAAACAUGAAAAACCACAAAACCCAACCAACCAAGCAAGAUUAGAAAAACUUUAUGAUCAGACAAGAUUAGUUUUUAAAAUAAUUUUCAAUAUUUUGAUAAAAAAUCAUAUCCUGUAAUGUUUAUUUUAUUAUUAUUGCCAUGUGUUGUUGCUAGUGUCAUUGUUUUCAAACAAAUCUGUGAGUUUGUUUAGGUUUUAUUUUCAGAAGCAUCUUUUGCCUUGUCACCAUAAUUUGAAAUGGAUUUUUUUUUUAAUUAGAGGAUUUAUUUAAAUUAGAGGAUUAAUUUGACAGGUUGCACUUUGUGUCCCUCUCUUCUCCCACAUUCUGCUUGUGUGAGCAGAGCAGUUGGUACUGAGGACGUGAUGUCUGCAGAAGCUCACAUAUCAGUCUUGAACUGUUUCCAAUCUGGGCCUCAUCCUCAUAACUCGUCACAGUGCAGUAGAUGCUCCACUGGAGUUUAUUUUGUGACCCAGUUUGUGAGCCCCGAGGCUGUUUGAAGUGCAAACCAAAGGAUAGUAAGUGGGAUGAUGGUGGCAUUUGCUUCCAAAGCUUGCUUCUGAUUUGAAACAGAAAAUUAGUGGAGCCAAACUUGAUUUCUUAUGCUCAGUGAUAUCUGAAACAUUGGCCUCUAUGUGAAUAGCCCUUGCAUGAUUAAAUCUUCAGAAAUGCAGCUGUGGUCUCAUACAAACUUGAGGAAUUUUUGACCUUUACUCAGCUAAAUAAAAAAACCUCAAAAUUAAAACCCAACAAGUACUUUAAGGACUCAUGUGCAAAGAACAUUAAAACUGUCUGAAUGGUUGUCCACCCCAUGUUUCAGAUCACAUACAGGUCACCUGGAGCAAAUACCUUGCAUUUUCAUCAGUUCAAAAUAUGGGCUUUUUCCCCCAUAUUCAGCAGCCUUCAGCAGUAAUUUUUCAAAGCCCCUACAGUUAUCUACAGUGUCUGCUACUCUUUUUACCUGGCCUGGACUCUUUUCCACUUAUAUUACACCUGCACUUCUACAUGCACUCUACUUUUCCCCUGUUUUGCCUUAUUACGUGUAAAAUAUGUACUCAUCUUCUGAGAUUAAAACACAAUUGAUACAAGGUGAUGUGUCCAUCCACCCCAGCCCAACUCAGAUUUGGGAGCAUAAUGUGUCCUAUUAAAUUCAGGAUUAUCUUCAUCUAUCUAUACAACCCUGGUCUAAGUAGAGCUACAAGGAAUGCAGUUCUAUAUUAGCCAUAUUUUUCUACAUCUGUAUGUUUAUAAGAAAACUACAGUCUCAUGUGCUUGAUGUUUCUAAGUGUGUUGAAUAUACACAACAAACAACCAUUAACGAGUUUUAAAACUCUGAUACUUAUUCAGUCCACUCAGUGCUCUUGAAUGUGAGCCAACAUUAAUUCAAGCUCAGUUGAUCCUAAUAAGUAACUAAGACCCCAUUUCAUAAACAUGCAAUUCUAGCUUGUUAUUUCUGGCACUGCCAUUAAGCAAAAGUCUCUACCGUCAGAAUGACAGAAUUAAGGGAUUAGGGAUAAACUGAAAAUUGUGAAUAUUUCACAAUUUCUUCCCUCCUCCCCACCAAAGGCAACUCUAGAGGGGCUCAAUAACUGCUCUCAGUUAUGCACCUUUUCUUCUGGAAGUUAUGCACAGGCAUGUGACCUGCCAGUGCAAUGAGAUUUGCUUACAUGAGUGGAGUCUGUAGGACCAAAUGUAAUAUCUGAUACUUUCUUUUCGUCAUAGGUUCACUAGAACAAAGCACCAAUGCCUGCACUAUAAAGUACUACUUAGAGUUAUCCAUCCUGAAGCAGAAUUGAAAGCAUCUUGGUCCCAACAAUAUGUAUGUCUUUUCAAAAGAAAUCUAUGACAUUUUGAAAGAAAACUAUGACAUUUUUUUACUAAGAUGCAAUCAGGGACACAACUUACCCUGGCCCUUUAGGUAAUGUAGAACACGUGCUAUACUUGUUCCUGAAACAGAUUUUCUCUUCAACUUUCCUGAUUUUGCAGAAAGAUAUUUUAUAGAGAUCCUGCCAAAUAUGAGAAGCUUUGCAGCAAAUUUGCAGGAGAUGCAUUUUGCUACAUAAAAUCCAGUAAAGUAGAAGUUCACAUUAAAGCAACAUAGACUGCACAACAAUUGUGUUUCUCAACACAGACAUUUCUUACUCAACCUUUAUCUCUGCCAUGCCACUGGAUUUCAAGCAGCUGUUGAAGUUCCAGAGCUGUAUUUCUAAGACAUGGGGCUCAGAACCAUCCUUUCAUGUGCUUGUCCAGUGCCCAGUCACUCUCUGGGCUUAUAGGCUCUAUGGUGAUGUGGAAGAGAGUAAGAAGUAAGGAAACACUUCUCCUCUCUCCUACAGUGAGAAUUACUUGUAUUCAUGAAGUCUGUGUUACUAAUACAUUCUUUUGCUCAAAGACUGAGCUUUCUUGCUGAUGCUAAAAUGUUUGUAUAAUGCUGCUGUAUUAUUGCACUGUUGUACCAAAACAAUAAUAAAAAUAUUUAGUUAAAUUAAAAACUGGGAUAUUAAUGGG